rnacentral:rRNA from 1 species
GGCUUAAUGAUUAUAAUUUUAAGUCAAUCUGCCCAAUGAUAUUAUAUUAAAUGGCUGCAGUAUAAUUAACUGUACAAAGGUAGCAUAGUCAAUUGUUUUUUAAUUGGAAACUGGAAUGAAAGAAUUAAUGAGAUAUAUACUGUCUCAUAUAUAUGUUAUUAAGUUAAAUUUUUAGUUAAAAUGCUGAAAUAGAUUUAUGGGACGAUAAGACCCUAUAGAAUUUUAUAUUAAAAUUUAAAAUAUAUUAAUUUUUAGGUUUUAAUAUUUGAUUGGGAGGAUUAAUAAAUUUAAUUAACUUUAUUUUAAAAAUAUACUUUGAUUUAAGGAUUAUAUUAAUGAUUUUGUAUUAUAGAUUAUAAGAAAAAAUUACCUUAGGGAUAACAGCGUAAUAUCUUUUUAAAGACCGAAUUUAUAACGAUGAUUGCGACCUCGAUGUUGAAUUAAGAUAAAUUUUAAAUGGAGAAGUUUAAUGAUUAAGUCUGUUCGACUUUUAAAAUCUUACAUGAUUUGAGUUCAAAUCGACGUGAGU